UUUGGCCUCGGAUCAGGCGGGGAUACCCGCUGAACUUAAGCAUAUCAAUAAGCGGAGGAAAAGAAACCAACAGGGAUUGCCCCAGUAACGGCGAGUGAAGCGGCAUCAGCUCAAA
rnacentral:rRNA from 1 species